CACCUCUAGCAUUUCCAGUAUUAGAGGCACUGCCUGCCCAGUGACAUCUGUUUAAACGGCCGCGGUAUCUUAACCGUGCAAAGGUAGCAUAAUCACUUGUUCCCUAAAUAGGGACUUGUAUGAAUGGCCACACGAGGGUUUUACUGUCUCUUACUUCCAAUCAGUGAAAUUGACCUUCCCGUGAAGAGGCGGGAAUGACUAAAUAAGACGAGAAGACCCUAUGGAGCUUUAAUUAACUGAUUCACAAAAAACAACACACAAACCUAACCUUCAGGGACAACAAAACUUUUGAUUGAAUCAGCAAUUUCGGUUGGGGUGACCUCGGAGAACAAAACAACCUCCGAGUGAUUUAAAUCCAGACUAACCAGUCAAAAUAUAUAAUCACUUAUUGAUCCAAACCAUUGAUCAACGGAACAAGUUACCCUAGGGAUAACAGCGCAAUCCUAUUCCAGAGUCCAUAUCGACAAUUAGGGUUUACGACCUCGAUGUUGGAUCAAGACAUCCUAAUGGUGCAACCGCUAUUAAGGGUUCGUUUGUUCAACGAUUAAGGUCUU
rnacentral:rRNA from 1 species